rnacentral:ncRNA from 1 species
GUACAUGCAAUGACCGAAACAAGUACACAUAUGUACGGGUCACACAGAGAGUAUCGGCCACCGGCUGAAAACCGAUACAGCAGCCCACUUAUGUCGAAUGCCUUCGGGAGCAGGAUUAUCGAACAACAGUAGAUAGUCCCGUAUGACUGACGUUACAAGUCCUUGAGUGGUAAUCAAUAUAUGAUUACAAUCAGAGUGGAACCGCGGAUUCGACGUCUCUGUG